rnacentral:rRNA from 1 species
GUGCCAGCCGCCGCGGUAAUACCGGCAGCCCGAGUGAUGGCCGAUCUUAUUGGGCCUAAAGCGUCCGUAGCUGGCUGCGCAAGUCCGUCGGGAAAUCCAGUAGCUCAACUACUGGGCGUCCGGCGGAAACUACAAGGCUUGGGACCGGAAGGCUCGAGGGGUACGUCCGGGGUAGGAGUGAAAUCCCGUAAUCCCGCACGGACCACCGAUGGCGAAAGCACCUCGAGAAGACGGCUCCGACGGUGAGGGACGAAAGCCAGGGUCUCGAACCGGAUUAGAUACCCUGGUAGUCC